AAUGCUAGGGGAGCUUAUGCUGAGAUAAUACUGCAGUUUUGCAGUUUGACCCUCAACACCUGAUCCGGUCAAUGCCGGCGUAGGGAAGCAAAAAA
rnacentral:ncRNA from 1 species